UACAAGUCGUCCGCGUUAGGGAUUGCAGCGGAAAUCCUUUUAUUUUAUGUAGCGUAGCGGAAAAAAUGAAAGAUUGCAGCGGAAAGCCCGGCCGCAG
rnacentral:sRNA from 1 species